AUGGGUUCUAGUCUUAACGAUGGCUGCUUUUUGCUGUGUAUUUAAUCUGACCCUCAUUUUGCCAUGGGCCUCAACCUUUAAGUACCCUUUUUCAUGGUUCUGAAAGGAAUGGUUCCUGUGUUUGGAGUAUACAAGGCUUAAGGCAGCCCUCACAUACCGCAUAACUGAAAUUCUUCCAUUUCAUACACUUAAGUCAGUUUUCCCAUAAGCUAGUUUAGGGGGUGGUGGAAAGAAGGUGUUGUUUGAACAUAGCGAUACAGGAACUUUGCAUUCCAAACCUUUAAGGUUUGUUUGCUUUUUCCCUCCCUUAUAUAAUAUUUACCUUAACUUCAAAAACAGUUACUAGUAAUAUCACAAAAUGAUGGAAACAGCAUUGCUACGCAAGCUAGUGGGAUGACAUCUGGCUAUUUGAGAACUGCAAGAGCUGCCAUUGCUUAGUGAUUGACCGUAGUCAUUAUUGUGCUUCAAGAGAUUCUGCAGUGAUUGAGGUCCUCUCCUUUCAGGGACUAUAGCCUUUCCUGGAAUCUUCCCCUACCUCCUGCUGGAGGAGGAAUAUUCCCAUUCACCUCUGGGGUGCUAACCAGAACGGGAAUCUUUACUGACACGCUCAGGAAAGCUUCAAAAGAGAAAAGCUUCAGAACCCCUCUCCUUAUGGCACUGAAUGAUAGAGAGGAAAGAACUCUUGGGGAUUGCCCAUUGCCAAUUAUAUUACAGUAGCCUUAUUACUGCUAAUCACUGUCAAUAAAAAGUCACUCCAUUCCCCUCUUCUUGAGGAAAACAAUGAGAAUGUAUCCAAUGAACUGGAAUAUUGGUCAGUAUUGAGAAAUUUUAAUGUUGCAAUAUCUAAUCAAACCUUGAGUGUACUGGUUCUGUGAACCACCUGAAAAAAGCAAAUUAAACUUAUUAAACAGUAUUGGUUCUGGUAUAUCUGUUUAUAGGAAUUGAAACACAUAGGCAUUUACAUUGU
rnacentral:lncRNA from 1 species